rnacentral:rRNA from 1 species
AGUGAACGCUGGCGGUAGGCCUAACACAUGCAAGUCGAACGGCAGCACAGUAAGAGCUUGCUCUUACGGGUGGCGAGUGGCGGACGGGUGAGGAAUACAUCGGAAUCUACUUUUUCGUGGGGGAUAACGUAGGGAAACUUACGCUAAUACCGCAUACGACCUACGGGUGGAAGCAGGGGAUCUUCGGACCUUGCGCGAUUGAAUGAGCCGAUGUCGGAUUAGCUAGUUGGCGGGGUAAAGGCCCACCAAGGCGACGAUCCGUAGCUGGUCUGAGAGGGUGAUCAGCCACACUGGAACUGAGACACGGUCCAGACUCCUACGGGAGGCAGCAGUGGGGAAUAUUGGACAAUGGGCGCAAGCCUGAUCCAGCCAUACCGCGUGGGUGAAGAAGGCCUUCGGGUUGUAAAGCCCUUUUGUUGGGAAAGAAAAGCAGCAGGUUAAUACCCCGCUGUUCUGACGGUACCCAAAGAAUAAGCACCGGCUAACUUCGUG